AAAUUAUUGUAAACUUUCAUGCAAUAAACAUUUGAAAUCUGUUAUUACCAGCUUAAUGCCUGAUACGACCACAUGUGGGGUCAACGAUAUUAAUUUGUUUUUGGAUCAUGGCGAAGUGCUAGGAGCUUGCUCUACCUUUGCCGCGGAUCAGCCCGGUAUUGCACUAGUGACCUUCGGGAUCGGUCCAUGAAAU